AGUUUUGUGCUUUGGCAGUAUCAUAGCCAAUAAGUUUUAUCCAAGGUAUGAUUACCGCUAAUUGAAACAGACAAGUGCUCCAUAUUUGCCAACCUUUUCUUUGG
rnacentral:snRNA from 1 species